rnacentral:rRNA from 1 species
AAAAGUACAAGAAACAGCUUAAAACUUAAAAGACCUGGCGGUGCUCAAACCAACCAGAGGAGCUUGUUACAUAAUCGAUAAUCCGCGAUAAACCUCACCUCCCCUGGCACUUACCAGCCUAUAUACCGCCGUCGACAGCCCAUUUCACAAGAAAUGCAGCAAAACCCAGACUUACCCCUAAAACGACAGGUCAAGGUGUAGCUUAUGGGAAGGAAAAUAAUGAGCUACAUUACUGCACAUAAACAAAAACUACGUUUGAAACUAGCAGUUGAAGAAGGAUUUAGUAGUAAGAGGAACCAGAACAUUCCCCUGAACGUCAGCUCUUGAGCACGCACACACCGCCCGUCACCCUCUGCAGUCA